AGUGAACGCUGGCGGCGUGCUUAACACAUGCAAGUCGAACGAGAACGGAUUAUAGCUUGCUAUAAUUGUCAGCUAAGUGGCGCACGGGUGAGUAAUGUAUAGGUAAUAUGCCUCUUACUAAGGGAUAACAAAUGGAAACGUUUGCUAAUACCUUAUACUCCUUAUUAACAGAAGUUAAUAAGGGAAAGAUUUAUUGGUAAGAGAUUAGCCUGUAUUGUAUCAGUUAGUUGGUGGGGUAAUGGCUUCCCAAGACGAUGACACAUAACUGGUUUGAGAGGAUGAUCAGUCACACUGGAACUGAGACACGGUCCAGACUCCUACGGGAGGCAGCAGUGGGGAAUAUUGCACAGUGGACGAAAGUCUGAUGCAGCAACGCCGCGUGGAGGAUGACACAUUUCGGUGCGUAAACUCCUUUUAUAUGAGAAGAUAAUGACGGUAUUAUAUGAAUAAGCACCGGCUAACUCCGUGCCAGCCGCCGCGGUAA
rnacentral:rRNA from 1 species